rnacentral:rRNA from 1 species
AGUAAUGCUUGGGAAGUCUGGCUUAUGGAGGGGGAUAACUACGGGAAACUGUAGCUAAUACCGCGUAGUAUCGAGAGAUUAAAGUGUGGGACCUUCGGGCCACAUGCCAUAGGAUGAGCCCAAGUGGGAUUAGGUAGUUGGUGAGGUAAAGGCUCACCAAGCCGACGAUCUCUAGCUGGUCUGAGAGGAUGACCAGCCACACCGGGACUGAGACACGGCCCAG